GAUGAACGCUGGCGGCGUGCCUAAUACAUGCAAGUCGAGCGAACAGACGAGGAGCUUGCUCCUCUGACGUUAGCGGCGGACGGGUGAGUAACACGUGGAUAACCUACCUAUAAGACUGGGAUAACUUCGGGAAACCGGAGCUAAUACCGGAUAAUAUAUUGAACCGCAUGGUUCAAUAGUGAAAGACGGUUUUGCUGUCACUUAUAGAUGGAUCCGCGCCGCAUUAGCUAGUUGGUAAGGUAACGGCUUACCAAGGCGACGAUGCGUAGCCGACCGGAGAGGGUGAUCGGCCACACUGGAACUGAGACACGGUCCAGACUCCUACGGGAGGCAGCAGUAGGGAAUCUUCCGCAAUGGGCGAAAGCUUGACGGAGCAACGCCGCGUGAGUGAUGAAGGUCUUCGGAUCGUAAAACUCUGUUAUUAGGGAAGAACAAAUGUGUAAGUAACUAUGCACGUAUUGACGGUACCUAAUCAGAAAGCCACGGCUAACUACGUG
rnacentral:rRNA from 1 species